AGAGCAUAUCCAACAGGGAAGUGCCUCUCAGCAAAAUGUCCCACCUGGUACGAUUAUAGAUGUGGAUAUUGUUCAUCCAACUCACACAGAGUUCAUUAUUGUUCCUCAUAAAUCUAUCAUGGUUUGUAAAUUUUGUUCAUGUUUUUCUCAAACUUUCAAUGAGUAUGACGUCUCGCUUGCUUAAAUGAAGCGUAGGUAUUGGAUAUGUGCUCCAAAUGAGGCAUUUUUGGUAAGCAGAACUGGCACUGUGGGAUGAACCAAACGUUGAGUUAAAGUGCCAAAUUUUUCGCUCAUGAGAGACCCCUUUAAUACUGAUGUUUCUUAUGAAUACAAUUGGCUUUAUUAGAGAUAACUUCUGGCUUGAUAACUGCCGAAUGUCUUUUUGGAACUUAGUGUUGUCAUCUAUCUUAACUUCUGCAGGGUACUGCACGUCCUGUGCGUGCUACGGUUUUGAUUGAUGACGAACCUCGUAUGUCAAUGGAUGAAUUAGAAGGCGUAACAAACGCUCUGUGUUAUGCCCAUGGUAUUGUCACUUCACCAAUAUCUCUACCGGCGCAUCUUUAUGCUGCUGCUGAUCUCGCUAAAAGAGGACGAAAUAAUUUUAAGACGGAACAG
rnacentral:ncRNA from 1 species